UGAUGACUAGACAUGAGCACCAAAGAGAUUGUUUAAGAGCUAGAUAUAUUAAAAAGAUUUUAAAUAGAUUUUCAAAAAGCAGCUUGUUAUGAGGAGGAAGCGACAAUUACCUUUGGAUAAAGUGAUCGCAGUUAUAGGGAAUGUAAUUGUACCACCAUUUGCUGAGCAGCUAUUUAGAAAUGGUCCAAUGUACGCUAUGGAGAAAGAGCUAGAUAUAAAAAGUCAAAUACAUUAUGUGGCAAACUUACUAGCUAACUUACCAGUGCAAGUCUUGGAGAAAGAGAAGUUGAGAUGAGAGUUCGUCAAAGAGAAGUCACAAGGAAGAUCGAAAAUAACUAAAAAUCUGUUGAAUAAGGAAGAGUUACGCUUGCUUAAAAAAAAUAAGCAAUGGAUGGCAAGUGAGGGUGUUAUAAUCACACGUGAG
rnacentral:lncRNA from 1 species